UUAUUAUAGAUAAAAUGGCUCAAAGGUGCUCCACCGCUAUCCAUUUUCGGCUUCUGCUUGUUCAAAAUGUUUGUCAGUAACAAAUUCCUCAUGGCUAGAAAAGGUCUUUAUUUUCUGAUAUUUAUAACAGAAACUGUGCAAGAAUUAAAAAGCUCUUCUGAUAUUUAUAACAAAUUCCUUCAUGGCUAGAAAAGGUCUUUAUCUUCUGAUAUUUAUAACAGAAACUGUGCAAGAAUUAAAAAGCUCUUUUAAUUCUUGCACUGUAUAAUUGGCAUGCUUGUAGAUUGAUGUCCCAUAUUGUUUAGUGCAUCCCGGCUUGGGAUAACAUGAAGCUUGUACUGAUUAUCCAUUGAAUUAUUUUAGCAUGUGGCUGUAGCUUCCGUGUGUUUGCUUAUUUGGAAUGCCUUGUUCUUACUGUUUGACACAGGCAGCCAUGUCAUGAAGCAAAUUGCAUUUACUUCACUGAGCAAAAUCAAACUCAUGUUUUCAAAUUAUAAAAUGGAAGCAUUGCCAAUUUA